UGAGGAAUAUUGGUCAAUGGAGGCAACUCUGAACCAGCCAUGCCGCGUGAAGGAUGACGGCCCUAUGGGUUGUAAACUUCUUUUGAAUAGGAAGAAACUUAUCUACGUGUAGAUAACUGACGGUACUAUUAGAAUAAGGAUCGGCUAACUCCGUGCCAGCAGCCGCGGUAAUACGGAGGAUCCAAGCGUUAUCCGGAUUCAUUGGGUUUAAAGGGUCCGUAGGCGGGUCUUUAAGUCAGUGGUGAAAGCCGACAGCUCAACUGUCGAACUGCCAUUGAUACUGGAGAUCUUGAGUACAAAUGAAGUAGGCGGAAUGAGUCAUGUAGCGGUGAAAUGCAUAGAUAUGACUCAGAACACCGAUUGCGAAGGCAGCUUACUAAAAUGUAACUGACGCUGAGGGACGAAAGCGUGGGGAGCGAACAGG
rnacentral:rRNA from 1 species